UGCAGUCGAGCGGUAAGGCCCUUCGGGGUACACGAGCGGCGAACGGGUGAGUAACACGUGAGCAACCUGCCCCUGACUCCGGGAUAAGCGGUGGAAACGCCGUCUAAUACCGGAUACGACCCUCCACCUCAUGGUGGUGGGUGGAAAGUUUUUCGGUCGGGGAUGGGCUCGCGGCCUAUCAGCUUGUUGGUGGGGUAACGGCCUACCAAGGCGAUUACGGGUAGCCGGCCUGAGAGGGCGACCGGCCACACUGGGACUGAGACACGGCCCAGACUCCUGCGGGAGGCAGCAGUGGGGAAUAUUGCGCAAUGGGCGAAAGCCUGACGCAGCGACGCCGCGUGGGGGAUGACGGCCUUCGGGUUGUAAACCUCUUUUACCACUCACGCAGGCUCCACGUUUUCGUGGGGUUGACGGUAGGUGGGGAAUAAGGACCGGCUAACUACGUGCCAGCAGCCGCGGUAAUACGUAGGGUCCGAGCGUUGUCCGGAAUUAUUGGGCGUAAAGAGCUCGUAGGCGGCGUGUCGCGUCUGCUGUGAAAGACCGGGGCUUAACCCCGGUUCUGCAGUGGAUACGGGCAUGCUAGAGGUAGGUAGGGGAGACUGGAAUUCCUGGUGUAGCGGUGAAAUGCGCAGAUAUCAGGAGGAACACCGGUGGCGAAGGCGGGUCUCUGGGCCUUACCUGACGCUGAGGAGCGAAAGCAUGGGGAGCGAACAGGAUUAGAU
rnacentral:rRNA from 1 species